UACGGGGGGGGCAAGCGUUGUUCGGAAUUAUUGGGCGUAAAGAGCUCGUAGGCGGUUUGUCGCGUCUGCUGUGAAAACUCGAGGCUCAACCUCGAGACGUCGGCGGAAACCAUCUGGCUAGAGUCCGGAAGAGGAGAGUGGAAUUCCUGGUGUAGCGGUGAAAUGCGCAGAUAUCAGGAAGAACACCCGUGGCGAAGGCGGCUCUCUGGGACGGUACUGACGCUGAGACGCGAAAGCGUGGGGAGCGAACAGG
rnacentral:rRNA from 1 species